ACGGAAGGCAGCAGUGGGGAAUAUUGCACAAUGGGGGAAACCCUGAUGUAGCAACGCCGCGUGAGUGAUGAAGGUCUUCGGAUUGUAAAACUCUGAUCUAAGGGAAGAAACAAAUGACGGUACCUUAGGAGAAAGCCCCGGCUAACUACGUGUCAGCAGCCGCGGUAAUACGGAGGGGGCAAGCGUUAUCCGGAAUUAUUGGGCGUAAAGAGUGCGUAGGUGGUUACCUAAGCGCAAGGUUUAAUCUUGAGGCUUAUCCUCAUUCUGCCUUGCGAACUGGGCUACUUGAGUGCAGGAGGGGAAAGCGGAAUUCCUAGUGUAGCGGUGAAAUGCGUAGAUAUUAGGAAGAACUCCGGUGGCGAAGGCGGCUUUCUGGACUGUAACUGACGCUGAGGCACGAAAGCGUGGGGAGCAAACAGGAUUAGAUACCCUGGUA
rnacentral:rRNA from 1 species